UUCAGACCCGCCUGCCAGUCUCAAUGUGCACAUGACCCUGCUCCAAAGAGACAAAACACGUGCCCUCCCAAAAGCAAGCUUCCUUUUUAAAAGUUCUUGAAGGACCUUAAAACAGGUUUUAGAGGCAAAGUAGUGAUGAACUCUGCCCCUUCUGGGCCAAUUUCAAACAGCUUCAAAUACUUUCUCAUUAUUU